UACGUAGGUGCGAGCGUUGUCCGGAAUUAUUGGCGUAAGAGCUCGUAGGCGUCUGUCGCGUCGGUCGUGAAAACUUGGGGCUUACCCCUGAGCUUUGCGUCGAUACGGGCAUGACUGGAGUUUGGGCAGGGAGGGACUGGAAAUUUCCCUGGGUGCGCGGGUGAAAUGCGCAGAUAUCAGGGAGGGAAACGACCCGGGUGGGCGAAAGGGCGGGUCUCCUUUGGGCCC
rnacentral:rRNA from 1 species